rnacentral:rRNA from 1 species
GGUUUGAUUAUGGCUCAGAUUGAACGCUGGCGGGAUGCUUUACACAUGCAAGUCGAACGGCAGCACGGACUUCGGUCUGGUGGCGAGUGGCGAACGGGUGAGUAAUGUAUCGGAACGUGCCCUAGUAGCGGGGGAUAACUACGCGAAAGCGUAGCUAAUACCGCAUACGCCCUUCGGGGGAAAGCGGGGGACCUUCGGGCCUCGCACUAUUAGGACGGCCGAUAUCGGAUUAGCUAGUUGGUGGGGUAACGGCUCACCAAGGCGACGAUCGCUGGUUUGAGAGGACGACCAGCCACACUUUGGGACUGAGACACGGCCCAGACUCCUGCGGGAGGCAGCAGUGGGGAAUUUUGGACAAUGGGGAAACCUGAUCCAGCCAUCCCGCGUGUGCGAUGAAGGCCUUCGGGUUGUAAAGCACUUUUGGCAGGAAAGAAACGGCACGGGAUAAUACCCCGUGCAACUGACGGUACCUGCAGAAUAAGCACCGGCUAACUACGUGCCAGCAGCCGCGGUAAUACGUAAGGGUGCAAGCGUUAAUCGGAAUUACUGGGCGUAAAGCGUGCGCAGGCGGUUCCGGAAAGAAGAUGUGAAAUCCCAGAGCUUAACUUUGGAGCUGCAUUUUUAACUUCUGCGAACUAGAGUGUGUCAGAGGGAGGUGGAAUUCCGCGUGUAGCAGUAAAUGCGUAGAUAUGCGGAGGAACACCGAUGGCGAAGGCAGCCUCCUGGGAUAACACUGACGCUCAUGCACGAAAGCGUGGGGAGCAAACAGGAUUAGAUACCCUGGUAGUCCACGCCUAAACGAUGUCAACUAGCUGUUGGGGCCUUCGGGCCUUGGUAGUGCAACUAACGCGUGAAGUUGACCGCCUGGGGAAGGUACGGUCGCAAGAUUAAAACUCAAAGGAAUUGACGGGGACCCGCACAAGCGGUGGAUGAUGUGGAUUAAUUCGAUGCAACGCGAAAAACCUUACCUACCCUUGACAUGUCUGGAAUCCCGAAGAGAUUUGGGAGUGCUCGCAAGAGAACCGGAACACAGGUGCUGCAUGGCUGUCGUCAGCUCGUGUCGUGAGAUGUUGGGUUAAGUCCUGGCAAGCGCAACCCUUGUCAUUAGUUGCUGAAAGGGCACUCUAAUGAGACUGCCGGUGACAAACCGGAGGAAGGUGGGGAUGACGUCAAGUCCUCAUGGCCCUUAUGGGUAGGGCUUCACACGUCAUACAAUGGUCGGGACAGAGGGUCGCCAACCCGCGAGAAGGUAAUCCCAGAAACCCGAUCGUAGUCCGGAUCGCAGUCUACAACUCGACUGCGUGAAGUCGGAAACGCUAGUAAUCGCGGAUCAGCAUGUCGCGGUGAAUACGUUCCCGGGUCUUGUACACACCGCCCGUCACACCAUGGGAGUGGGUUUUUACCAGAAGUAGUUAGCCUAACCGUAAGGAGGGCGAUUACCACGGUAGGAUUCAUGACUGGGGGUGAAGUCGUAACAAGGUAA